rnacentral:misc_RNA from 1 species
GGAUGAAGAACGCAGCGAAACGCGAUAAGUAAUGUGAAUUGCAGAAUUCAGUGAAUCAUCGAAUCUUUGAACGCACAUUGCGCCCGCCAGUAUUCUGGCGGGCAUGCCUGUUCGAGCGUCAUUACAACCCUCAGGCCCCCGGGCCUGGCGUUGGGGAUCGGCGGAGCCCCCCGUGGGCACACGCCGUCCCCCAAAUACAGUGGCGGUCCCGCCGCAGCUUCCAUCGCGUAGUAGCUAACACCUCGCGACUGGAGAGCGGCGCGGCCACGCCGUAAAACACCCAACUCUUCUGAAGUUGACCUCGAAUCAGGUAGGAAUACCCGCUGAACUUAAGCAUAUCAAUAAGCGGAGGA